AGUGAACGCUGGCGGUAGGCCUAACACAUGCAAGUCGAACGGCAGCACAGGAGAGCUUGCUCUCUGGGUGGCGAGUGGCGGACGGGUGAGGAAUACAUCGGAAUCUACUCUGUCGUGGGGGAUAACGUAGGGAAACUUACGCUAAUACCGCAUACGACCUACGGGUGAAAGCAGGGGACCUUCGGGCCUUGCGCGAUUGAAUGAGCCGAUGUCGGAUUAGCUAGUUGGCGGGGUAAAGGCCCACCAAGGCGACGAUCCGUAGCUGGUCUGAGAGGAUGAUCAGCAAAACUGGAACUGAGCCACGGUCCAGACUCCUACGGGAGGCAGCAGUGGGGAAUGUUGGACAAUGGGCGCAAGCCUGAUCCAGCCAUACCGCGUGGGUGAAGAAGGCCUUCGGGUUGUAAAGCCCUUUUGUUGGGAAAGAAAUCCAGCUGGCUAAUACCCGGUUGGGAUGACGGUACCCAAAGAAUAAGCACCGGCUAACUUCGUGCCAGCAGCCGCAGUAA
rnacentral:rRNA from 1 species